CGGGCGGGCCGGACGGCCGCGACGCGGGGGGCCAGACUGGGGGUCAAGCCCUCAAGUGGCCCUGAAAAACCGCGCCGAGGAAAGUCCGAACUCCGCAGGGCAGGACGCCGGGUAACCCCCGGGGCCCGCAAGGGUACGGAAAGUGCAACAGAGAGCAGACCGCCCAAGUCCGGGAAACCGGACCGGCAAGGGUGAAACGGUGGGGUAAGAGCCCACCAGCGGCGGCGGUGACGCCGUCGGCUCGGUAAACCCCGUCCGGAGCAAGACCGAAUAGGGAACCCCCAGAGGUGGCCCGCCUCGGGCCGAGAGGCCGGGGUUCCGGGUAGGUCGCUGGAGCCCCGGAGUAAUCCGGGGCGUAAGAUGGAUGGCCGUCACCCCAUCGGAGGGGAAACCCGCUCGCACGAAGGGGUACAAAAUUCGGCUUACAGGCCCGCCCGCAAA
rnacentral:RNase_P_RNA from 2 species